GGCUCGUAGCUUAGUUAGCAGAGCAUUGGACUAGCAAACCAAAGGUCGAGGGUUCUAUUUCCACCGCGGUCA